GCGGUGGAGCAUGUGGUUAAUUCGAAGCAACGCGUAAGAACCUUACCUGGUCUUGACAUCCCGGAGACCUUAGGAACUAGGGGGUGCCUUCCAUCUGGAAGAAUCUGGAGACAGGUGCUGCAUGGCUGUCGUCAGCUCGUGUCGUGAGAUGUUGGGUUAAGUCCCGCAACGAGCGCAACCCUUGCCUUUAGUGCCAGCAGUUCGGCUGGGCACUCUAAAGGGACUGCCGGUGUUAAACCGGAGGAAGGUGGGGAUGACGUCAAGUCCUCAUGGCCUUUAUGACCAGGGCUACACACGUACUACAAUGGCCGAUACAAAGGGCAGCGACACUGCGAGGUGAAGCCAAUCCCGUAAAAUCGGUCUCAGUCCGGAUUGGAGUCUGCAACUCGACUCCAUGAAGUUGGAAUCGCUAGUAAUCGUGGAUCAGCAUGCCACGGUGAAUACGUUCCCGGGCCUU
rnacentral:rRNA from 1 species